rnacentral:rRNA from 1 species
CCCGACUGCUAUCGGGGUGAGGCUAAGCCAUGGGAGUCGCGCGCCCCGCCGCCGCGGGGCGCGGCGCACGGCUGAGUAACACGUGGCUAACCUGCCCUCGGGACGGGGAUAACCCCGGGAAACUGGGGCUAAUCCUCGAUAGGCGAGGGGGCCUGGAAGGGUCCCUCGCCGAAAGGGACCUCAGGGGGUUAUCGCCUGGGGUCCGCCCGAGGAUGGGGCCACGGCCCAUCAUGGUAGUUGGCGGGGUAAUGGCCCGCCAAGCCGACGACGGGUAGGGGCCGUGGGAGCGGGAGCCCCCAGAUGGGCCCUGAGACAAGGGCCCAGGCCCUACGGGGCGCACCAGGCGCGAAACCUCCGCAAUGCGGGAAACCGUGACGGGGUCACCCCGAGUGCCCCCGUAAGGGGGCUUUUCCCCGCUGCAAGGAGGCGGGGGAAUAAGCGGGGGGCAAGUCUGGUGUCAGCCGCCGCGGUAAUACCAGCCCCGCGAGUGGUCGGGACUCUUGCUGGGCCUAAAGCGCCCGUAGCCGGCCCGGUAAGUCCCUCCUUAAAGCCCCGGGCUCAACCCGGGGAGCGGGGGGAUACUGCCGGGCUAGGGGGCGGGAGAGGCCGGGGGUACCCCAGGGGUAGGGGCGAAAUCCGAUAAUCCCUGGGGGACCACCAGUGGCGAAGGCGCCCGGCUGGAACGCGCCCGACGGUGAGGGGCGAAAGCCGGGGGAGCGAACCGGAUUAGAUACCCGGGUAGUCCCGGCUGUAAACUAUGCGGGCCAGGUGUCGGGCGGGCGUUAGAGCCCGCCCGGUGCCGCAGGGAAGCCGUUAAGCAUUCCGGUUGAUCCUGCCGGAA